ACGAACGCUGGCGGCGUGCUUAACACAUGCAAGUCGAACGGAAAGGCCCCUUUGGGGGUACUCGAGUGGCGAACGGGUGAGUAACACGUGAGUAACCUGCCCUUGACUUCGGGAUAACUUCAGGAAACUGGGGCUAAUACCGGAUAGGAAUCCUUGCUGCAUGGUGGGGGUUGGAAAGCUUCGGCGGUUUUGGAUGGACUCGCGGCUUAUCAGCUUGUUGGUGGGGUAGUGGCUUACCAAGGCCUUGACGGGUAGCCGGCCUGAGAGGGCGACCGGCCACAUUGGGACUGAGAUACGGCCCAGACUCCGACGGGAGGCAGCAGUGGGGAAUAUUGCACAAUGGGCGGAAGCCUGAGGCAGCAACGCCGCGGGCGGGAUGACGGCCUUCGGGUUGUAACCCGCUUUCAGCAGGGGCGAAGCUUGUGGUGACGGUACCUGCAGAAGAAGCACCGGCUAACUACGUG
rnacentral:rRNA from 1 species